rnacentral:tRNA from 2 species
UGGGGCGUAGCCAAGCGGUAAGGCAACGGGUUUUGGUCCCAAUAUUCGGAGGUUCGAAUCCUUCCGUCCCAG